GGCGGACGGGUGAGUAACGCGUGGGUAACCUGCCUUGCACUGGGGGAUAACACUUAGAAAUAGGUGCUAAUACCGCAUAAGCGCACGGUCCUGCAUGGGACAGUGUGAAAAACUCCGGUGGUAUACGAUGGAUCCGCGUCUGAUUAGCUAGUUGGCGGGGUAACGGCCCACCAAGGCAGCGAUCAGUAGCCGGCCUGAGAGGGUGGACGGCCACAUUGGGACUGAGACACGGCCCAAACUCCUACGGGAGGCAGCAGUGAGGAAUAUUGGUCAAUGGCCGGAAGGCUGAACCAGCCAAGUCGCGUGAGGGAAUAAGGCCCUACGGGUCGUAAACCUCUUUUGCCAGGGAGCAAUGCCGUCCACGUGUGGACGGAAGGAGAGUACCUGGAGAAAAAGCAUCGGCUAACUCCGUGCCAGCAGCCGCGGUAAUACGGAGGAUGCGAGCGUUAUCCGGAUUUAUUGGGUUUAAAGGGUGCGCAGGCGGGAUGUCAAGUCAGCGGUCAAAUCGAGGGGCUCAACCCCUUUCCGCCGUUGAAACUGGCGUCCUAGAGUGGGCGAGAAGUACGCGGAAUGCGUGGUGUAGCGGUGAAAUGCAUAGAUAUCACGCAGAACUCCGAUUGCGAAGGCAGCGUACCGGCGCCCAACUGACGCUCAUGCACGAAAGCGUGGGUAUCGAACAGGAUUAGAUACCCUGGUAGUCCACGCAGUAAACGAUGAAUACUAACUGUCCGGCCCGAUUGGGGGCUGGGUGGUACAGCGAAAGCGUUAAGUAUUCCACCUGGGGAGUACGCCGGCAACGGUGAAACUCAAAGGAAUUGACGGGGGCCCGCACAAGCGGAGGAACAUGUGGUUUAAUUCGAUGAUACGCGAGGAACCUUACCCGGGCUCAAACGACGGAUGAAUGUUUUUGAAAGGAGGCAGCCCUUCGGGGCAUCCGUCGAGGUGCUGCAUGGUUGUCGUCAGCUCGUGCCGUGAGGUGUCGGCUUAAGUGCCAUAACGAGCGCAACCCCCAUCGCCAGUUACCAGCAAGUGAAGUUGGGGACUCUGGCGAGACUGCCGGCGCAAGCUGUGAGGAAGGCGGGGAUGACGUCAAAUCAGCACGGCCCUUACGUCCGGGGCGACACACGUGUUACAAUGGCAGGUACAGAGAGAUGCCACCUGGCGACAGGGAGCAGAACUCGAAAGCCUGUCUCAGUUCGGAUCGGAGUCUGCAACCCGACUCCGUGAAGCUGGAUUCGCUAGUAAUCGCGCAUCAGCCAUGGCGCGGUGAAUACGUUCCACGGGCCUUGCACACACCGCCCGUCAAG
rnacentral:rRNA from 1 species